CUGCAUUUUCGACGUAUAACAAAAAGUUACGAAAGAAUCACGAACAAUGUCAAAUUUCAGGUGUCCUUCGACAUGAAAACAAACUAUUUAAAUGACAAUUAGUGGUUUUGGAGUUUAGAAAUAGAUUAUAAAUGAAGAUCACAAACAAAUGGAAAACAAAAUUUGAUGUCAAAGACCCAACUAAUGGAGCUUGAAAAGGGGAAAGGGGAAAAAAAAUUAAUAAUAGUUUCCUACCAUUGAUGUUGAUGUGAUGUGUAGGAUUGAGAUGUUUACUUUUUUGAUAUUUGUGGGAUUAUGGACAGUAUGGAACGAGGGAGAGCAAAGAAGUUACAGUUAAUGGGAAGAGUUCAAUUUGAUUUGCUUCAAGUUAUGCUCAUUGGGAUUGUUUUCUAUGCUCUCUCAGAUUGGUUCAUGGUGGUAUAUUCAUGAAGAUUUUAUCAAAACCGAAAAUUUAUGCUAUCACUCUAAUUGUGCAGGUUAUGCAAAGGGAUUAUAAACUCAGUUCGUAUUCAUUGAAUUCUGUUUCAGCACGCUUUGUUAAUGAGCAGGCAAGAAAACCUUUUUCUUUUCUCCGUUCAAUUGGAUUUGCAGCCGGUACUUCUGUCUGUGCCAAGUAACAAGUCCUCGCAUCCUACAUUUUAUCUUUGUGCUUGUGCCUUUUUGUGACUUGAAUUACAUUACUCUCUUUAUUGUUAAGCUUGCUCAUCUUUGUUUAAGCACACUAUUUGAUCACUUAAUCUCAUAUUCAUGAUGUCUCUACUACUCUCUGCUACAAUGUUAAAUCUAUAUACUAUGUUAUAAUGGCAGGGAUACGUGGGAUCUAAUAAGAAAAGAAAUAGAGUUCUUCAUUCAGUACUGAAGUCCACUAUAUAGCCAUGUUUCAUCCACACACAAACUCUCUUAUGUACAACAAGGUUGCUUCAAAACAAAAAACCAUCUACAAAAAACACUGAAGUUAGAUCUGCUUUUCGAAUUUCGUUAACACUUCAAUUAGGACCCCAAUAGCUCCAAUACAUCACUGUCCAGAGAGAUUCCUCAGCUUGUUUGUAUCUGUUAUCAUUGCUAUCCUUAUCAGCUUUGUUAUAGGCCAAUUGAUUAUAAGCACCGACAUUUGUUCUCACCUGCUUAGAAGAUCCAGAAGGGAAGGCAGAAGUAGAAGCAGAGUCAUGACUUGCUUUCAUGGCUAAGUCACACUUUGGAGACUUCUCUUUGAUUCUCUGCAUCACUGGUAAAAACACCCUGCUCAUGCUCUUUGAUAUCGUUCAAAACCAAUAAGACUACGUAGUCUCUUGAAAGAGAGUUGAAAGAUGGCUUCAAAAUAUAAGAGGUUUGGUGGUUUGUGGCCCUCAAGUUUUAGGAAGGUGGGGGCUGAAUUUGGCUUGAAGUUAUAUUUAUGUAUAGACGACAUAGAAAAGACAAAGAUGGAUUCAACAUUUAAAAAAUGCUCCACCCGUUGAAUGAAAUCUAGUGUAGAUUUGAUUGAUGUCUAUUCCAUCCUAUGGUUCAAUGCCUUCAAAUUAAUGGUAAUGAUUGAAGAACCACUUGGCCUCGUGAACAUAUUUCAUAUUUUAGUGCAUAAAAACAAUAACAAUGUUGGAGU